GGUGGGGUGGCAGAGCGGCUAUGCGCUCGCCUGCAGAGCGAGUUUAUAUGGGUUCAAAUCCCAUCCCCACCUCCA
rnacentral:tRNA from 1 species